UAUACGUGCAUACAUAUGCAGUUCGCGCUCUUGUAGGUAGAAAAAGCUAUACAAACCCCGUCACAUCUUUCAUUGAAAGAAAGUUAAGUAAAAUACAUGAGAAGAAACUACACAGAGUGAUAACACUUUUGCAACUCAAAACGUGCCUCAAUCUACCAUUUUAUGGUAACCACCACCACAUAGUGGUAGUUUUAGGCACGUUUUUCUUUCCGAAGUUUAGCUGGAUUGGGCCCGGAGAUUAGUUAUACACGGAUGUUUCGUCCGAGGCUAAAACAAAAAAAUGUUAUUAGAAGCCAUAGAUUUAAGAACAUUACAAUGUAUGUACUGAAGAAGCGCUAAAUUUUAGAUUGACAUAAUUAUCAUGGAAUUAGUAGGUACUCCGUAGGAAGUACGUACUACAUUCAUGAUUAAUAUACAUUUCAUUCGUUCAUUUUUAGAAUCGAUAAAAUAAGGUAGGUAGAUAAAAAUAAUACGAUGUUGGUAAAGCAAGUGUGGAGUGGAAUUCUUGGUACCUACCUUGGUGUAGGUAGGUUACACGAGUAAUAUAAAAUAGAUACAUAAAUAUUACAUUUAUUGUAUAAAGUGAAUUUCGAACUAAUAAGAUGUCAGUAAAACCUUUAUCAUUAUGUCGAUUAUGUAUGAAAAAAUAUAACUAUAACGAAUUGUUUAAAAUAGAUAAUGAAAAUGCCGCCCUUGACUCUGUAAUAUUUUUUUGUGUUGAUAUUAAGGUUUCUUUUGUAUUAUUCAUAGAUGCAACCAGGAGAUGGACUGCCAGAAGUAAUAUGUAUAGAUUGUCUGAGAAAAGUUAGAAUGUUUUAUAACUUUAAAAAAAAUUGUUUAGAAGUGGAUUUAAGAUUAAAACAUACAAUAUUAGAAACAGCUAAACAUAAUAUAGAUACAAAAAGAGCUAUUGGAGUAAAUGAUAUUUUUUCAAAUAGAACGGAAAUUACACCCAACGACUGCACUUCUCCAAAAAACAAUUGCCUUGAAAGUUGGAGCGAAAAAAUUAAUGCAGCUGCUCACAUAAAGAAAAUCAAUAAUUUUAACAAUAUAUAUCAAUGCGAACAAUGUGGGCAAACUUUUAAAUUGAAAACAGAUUUAGAGAGACACAUGACUGUUCAUUCAGGGAUAAAACCAUAUAUAUGUAAAUUAUGCCACAAAGGAUUCACACGAGCUGGAAACAGAAUGAUCCAUAUGAGAUCUCAUUUGGAAAUAAAACCGUAUAUUUGUGAAACAUGCGGAAGGACGUCGACAAAACGUUCGGAUUUAAUAAGACAUAUGAAAAUACACAGUGAUGAAAAAAAUUACUCGUGUUUGCUAUGUAAUCGCAAGUUUAAGCGAUCAUUUGAUGUUAACAAUCAUAUGCGUACACAUAAUGGAUUGCGACCAUAUAAAUGUAAAGUUUGCGAAAAGACCUACACGUCUCUGAGUGGAUUGCGGAAACAUAAUAAAAAUUAUUGUAAAAAUGAUUAAAUUAAACAAUUACACAUUUAUAAAAUAA